UGGCUCUCGCAUCGAUGAAGAACGCAGCGAAAUGCGAUAAGUAAUGUGAAUUGCAGAAUUCAGUGAAUCAUCGAAUCUUUGAACGCAAAUUGCGCCCUUUGGUAUUCCGAAGGGCAUGCCUGUUUGAGUGUCAUAUAGACCUUCACCCGGACGGUUUUCUAAACUGUCUGUCGGUGGUUUGGACGUCUGCCAGCAGCUUGGGUCUCUGGCUCGUCUUAAAUGCCUCAGUGGAAGAUACAGCGUGAUAAGUCUACGCUUACAAUGUCUUCACACUCUAAUCUUAUCUUAAGAUCUGGCCUCAAAUCAGGUAGGACUACCCGCUGA
rnacentral:misc_RNA from 1 species